AUAGAUAGUCGGGCUUGAUUGGGAAACAAUAACAUGGUUUAUGUGCUCGUUCUGGGUAAAUAAAGUUUCUAUCAUUUAUGGUAGUUUCUUGUUCCCCGGAUAGUUUAGUUACGUAGCCAAUUGUGGAACUUUCUUGCUAAAAUUUUUAAGAAUACUAGUUGGGGUACCAAUUAGUUCUUUUAAAUUAUAACGAUUAUCAAUUAACAAUCAAUUCAGAACUGGCACGGACUUGGGGAAUCCGACUGUCUAAUUAAAACAAAGCAUUGUGAUGGCCCUAGCGGGUGUUGACACAAUGUGAUUUCUGCCCAGUGCUCUGAAUGUCAAAGUGAAGAAAUUCAAGUAAGCGCGGGUCAACGGCGGGAGUAACUAUGACUCUCUUAAGGUAGCCAAAUGCCUCGUCAUCUAAUUAGUGACGCGCAUGAAUGGAUUAACGAGAUUCCUACUGUCCCUAUCUACUAUCUAGCGAAACCACAGCCAAGGGAACGGGCUUGGAAUAAUUAGCGGGGAAAGAAAACCCUUUUGAGCUUGACUCUAAUCUGGCAGUGUAAGGAGACAUAAGAGGUGUAGAAUAAGUGGGAGAUAUUAGACUUCGGUUUGGUAUCGACAAUGAAAUACCACUACUCUUAUUGUUUCCUUACUUACUUGAUUAAAUGGAACGUGUAUCAUUUCCUAGCCAUUAUACGGAUAUAAUUAUUAUGUCUUAUGGUAUUGGGUUUUGAUGCAAGCUUCUUGAUCAAAGUAUCACGAGUUUGUUAUAUAAUCGCAAACAAAUUCUUUAAUGAGAGAAUGCAUUUAUGUAUUAUUGAUUUAAAAAUUUGGUAUAACUCCAAUUACUCAGGUAUGAUCCAAUUCAAGGACAUUGCCAGGUAGGGAGUUUGACUGGGGCGGUACAUCUCUCAAAUAAUAACGGAGGUGUCCCAAGGCCAGCUCAGUGCGGACAGAAACCACACAUAGAGCAAAAGGGCAAAUGCUGACUUGAUCUCGGUGUUCAGUACACACAGGGACAGCAAAAGCUCGGCCUAUCGAUCCUUUUGGUUUAAAGAGUUUUUAACAAGAGGUGUCAGAAAAGUUACCAUAGGGAUAACUGGCUUGUGGCGGCCAAGCGUUCAUAUCGACGUCGCUUUUUGAUCCUUCGAUGUCGGCUCUUCCUAUCAUUGUGAAGCAAAAUUCACCAAGCGUUGGAUUGUUCACCCAUGCAAGGGAACGUGAGCUGGGUUUACACCGUCGUGAGACAGGUUAGUUUUACCCUACUAAUGACAAAACGUUGUUGCGACAGCAUUCCUGCGUAGUACGAGAGGAACCGCAGGUACGGACCAAUGGCACAAUACUUGUUCGAGCGAACAGUGGUAUGACGCUACGUCCGUUGGAUUAUGCCUGAACGCCUCUAAGGUCGUAUCCGUGCUGGACUGCAAUGAUAAAUAAGGGGCAAUUUGCAUUGUAUGGCUUCUAAACCAUUAAAAGUUUUUAAUUUGUUUUAUUAACGACAAUGGAUGUGAUGCCAAUGUUAUUUAUAACAUAGUAAAUUGGGAGGAUCUUCGAUCACCUGAUGCCGCGCUAGUUAUAUUUUAAAACAUUAUUUAAUACAAUGUCAAAGCCUAGAAUCAAUUGUAAACGACUUUUGUAACAGGCAAGGUGUUGUAAGUGGUUGAGCAGCUGCCAUACUGCGAUCCACUGAAGCUUAUCCUUUGCUUGAUGAUUCGA
rnacentral:rRNA from 1 species